CUUGGAGGCAGGGUGGAUCUGAGGAUGUUACGACUCCAUAGCAUCUCUGUCUGCCUCUCUGGG
rnacentral:pre_miRNA from 1 species